ACUGAAUAGAUACCCUGGUAGUCCACGCCGUAAACGAUGGAUACUAGCUGUUCGGAGCAAAUCUGAGUGGCUAAAGCGAAAGUGAUAAGUAUCCCACCUGGGGAGUACGCACGCAAGUGUGAAACUCAAAGGAAUUGACGGGGGCCCGCACAAGCGGUGGAGCAUGUGGUUUAAUUCGAUGAUACGCGAGGAACCUUACCAGGGCUUAAAUGUAGAUUGACAGGACUGGAAACAGUUUUUCUUCGGACAAUUUACAAGGUGCUGCAUGGUUGUCGUCAGCUCGUGCCGUGAGGUGUCAGGUUAAGUCCUAUAACGAGCGCAACCCCUGUCGUUAGUUGCCAGCGAGUCAUGUCGGGAACUCUAACGAGACUGCCAGUGUAAACUGUGAGGAAGGUGGGGAUGACGUCAAAUCAUCACGGCCCUUACGUCCUGGGCCACACACGUGCUACAAUGGUAGGUACAGAGAGCAGCCACUGCGCGAGCAGGAGCGAAUCUACAAAA
rnacentral:rRNA from 1 species